UCCCUGGUGGUCCAGUGGUUAGGACUUGGCACUUUCGUUGCCAUCACUCAGGUUUAAUCCCUGGUCGGAGAA
rnacentral:tRNA from 1 species